UGACCUCAAAUCAGGUAGGACUACCCGCUGAACUUAAGCAUAUCAAUAAGCGGAGGAAAAGAAACUAACAAGGAUUCCCCUAGUAACUGCGAGUGAAGAGGGAAGAGCUCAAAUUUUAAAUCUGGCAGCCCUUGGCUGUCCGAGUUGUAAUCUAGAGAAGUGUUUUCCGCGCUGGACCGUGUAUAAGUCUCCUGGAAGGGAGCGUCAUAGAGGGUGAGAAUCCCGUCUUUGACAUGGACUACCAGUGCUAUGUGAUGCGCUCUCGACGAGUCGAGUUGUUUGGGAAUGCAGCUCAAAAUGGGUGGUAAACUCCAUCUAAAGCUAAAUACAGGCGAGAGACCGAUAGCGAACAAGUACCGUGAGGGAAAGAUGAAAAGAACUUUGGAAAGAGAGUUAAACAGUACGUGAAAUUGCUGAAAGGGAAACGCUUGAUGUCAGUCGCGUUGGCUGGGGAUCAACCUUGCUUCUCGCUGGGUGUACUUCCCGGUUGACGGGUCAGCAUCAGUUUCAGUCGCCGUACAAGGGUGAAGGGAACGUGGCACUCU
rnacentral:rRNA from 1 species